rnacentral:rRNA from 1 species
GACAGAGGGUGCAAACGUUGUUCGGAAUUACUGGGCGUAAAGCGAGUGUAGGCGGUUCGAUAAGUCGGAUGUGGAAGCCCCGGGCUCAACCCGGGAAGUGCACUCGAUACUGUCGAGCUAGAGUAUCGGAGAGGUUGGUGGAAUUCUCGGUGUAGAGGUGAAAUUCGUAGAUAUCGAGAGGAACACCGGUGGCGAAGGCGGCCAACUGGACGAAUACUGACGCUGAGACUCGAAAGCGUGGGGAGCAAACAGG